AUGCUUCAAGAGCAGCACCUGCGACGCUAUAAGUACCUGAGCCUCAGUCCCAUCGGUCUCCAUCCCAACUCAAAUCAGUGUCAAGCAAAAGUAGACGACAUCCUAUUCCUACCUACGAUCCACAGAAUUUUCCGAGCGCACAAGCCGAAGCAAUCAGCACCGACCAUGUCGAUCGUGAGGCGGAGCAACGUGUUCAACCCCUUUGCCGACCUUUGGGCGGACCCCUUCGACACCUUCCGCUCCAUCGUCCCGGCGAUCUCAGGCGGCAACAGCGAGACGGCGGCAUUCGCCAACGCCCGCGUGGACUGGAAGGAGAGCCCCGAGGCGCACGUCUUCAAGGCAGAUCUUCCAGGGGUGAAAAAGGAGGAGGUCAAGGUGGAACUGGAGGACGGCAACGUGCUCGUCGUCAGCGGCGAGCGCACAAAAGAGAAGGAGGACAAGAACGACAAGUGGCACCGCGUGGAGCGCAGCAGCGGCAAGUUCGUGCGGCGUUUCCGGCUGCCGGAGGACGCCAAGGUGGAGGAGGUCAAGGCCGGGCUGGAGAACGGCGUGCUCACCGUCACCGUGCCCAAGGCCGAGGUCAAGAAGCCCGAGGUGAAGGCCAUCGAGAUCUCCGGCUGA
rnacentral:rRNA from 1 species